rnacentral:rRNA from 1 species
CCUACGGGAGGCAGCAGUGGGGAAUAUUGGGCAAUGGGGGAAACCCUGAUCCAGCGACGCCGCGUGAGUGAAGAAGUAUUUCGGUACGUAAAGCUCUAUCAGCAGGGAAGAAAAUGACGGUAACUGACUAAGCAUCCCCGGCUAACUCCGUUCCAGCCGCCGCGGUCUUACGUAGGGGGCAAGCGUUAUCCGGAUUUACUGGGUGUAACGGGAGCGUAGACGGCAGCGCAAGUCUGGAGUGAAAGGCCGGGGCUCAACCCCGGAACUGCUCCGGAAACUGUGAAGCUGGAGUGCAGGAGAGGUAAGCGGAAUUCCUGGUGUAGCGGUGAAAUGCGUAGAUAUCAGGAGGAACACCGGCGGCGAAGGCGGCUUACUGGACUGUAACUGACGUUGAGGCGCGAAGGCGUGGGGAGCAAACAGGAUUAGAUACCCUAGUAGUC